rfam:Ipomoea nil DNA, scaffold: scaffold3170, cultivar: Tokyo-kokei standard.
AUUUGAUGGUGUGGGCAGCUUGCACAAAGCAUUUUGAAACGCUCCCAAUAUUCAUAUAAUGACUCUCCAUUGUUUUGCUUUAUACCACAGAUUUCCUUUCUAAUGUU